AACCUUAUGGACCUGCGGGCGUAUACCUGCGGAAGGAUCAUUAAUGAGUGUAACCUACCCCUUAAAAAAGGGUAGUACCUCCCGUCCUUUGCAAGGCCCUUUUUAUGGGGGCUUUAUUUUUAAAGACUUUCUGCUUCGGCGAGGUUAUUCCCGCCGGAACACCCUCAAAACACUCUUAAAAAAACAGUUCAGUCCGAGAAUUUUUUGAAAAUAUAAAAAAAACUUUCAACAAUGGAUCUC
rnacentral:misc_RNA from 1 species